rnacentral:rRNA from 1 species
GACGAACGCUGGCGGCGUGCUUAACACAUGCAAGUCGAACGGAAAGGCCCUGCUUUUGUGGGGUGCUCGAGUGGCGAACGGGUGAGUAACACGUGAGUAACCUGCCCUUGACUUUGGGAUAACUUCAGGAAACUGGGGCUAAUACCGGAUAGGAGCUCCUGCUGCAUGGAGGGGGUUGGAAAGAUUCGGCGGUUGGGGAUGGACUCGCGGCUUAUCAGCUUGUUGGUGGGGUAGUGGCUUACCAAGGCUUUGACGGGUAGCCGGCCUGAGAGGGUGACCGGCCACAUUGGGACUGGGAUACGGCCCAGACUCCUACGGGAGGCAGCAGUGGGGAAUAUUGCACAAUGGGCGGAAGCCUGAUGCAGCAACGCCGCGUGCGGGAUGACGGCCUUCGAGUUGUAAACCGCUUUCGCCUGUAACGAAGCGUUAGUGACGGUAAUGGGUAAAGAAGCACCGGCUAACUACGUG